ACUUCUGACGAACAACCCCGAACAAACCAACCUUCAAAAUUUUUAAUAUUGACAAAUUCUUGUAUUUAUUUAUAAUAAAAAAAAAUUCUUUCAUAUAUUUAUUUAAAUCUGCUUGCAAAGUAAUUUGAAAUUAAUUAUAAUUCAUUUCACAGUUUAGAAUUUAGUCAAGAUGGGCCAAGUACUGAAAGUUGCUGUUCUCUCAAUCUCCAUGGCUGCUGGCUACCAUUACUACCUCACCUUCAAAGAAUAAAUCAAUCCCAACGCGAUGGCUCCAAAAACAAGGUUAAAACUUAUUCGGCCAAAAAAGAGAAAAAAGUGCCAGUGACAUGUCACGUCAAAUUUUCUAUGGCAAUGUUUGACAGCAAGAAAAAGAUACCGAAGGAAGCGUUUAUUAUAAGAAAUGAGAAUAUUGUUAUGGAUUUAAAUUUACGAGAUCCAGACAACUAAUAUGGACAGGUUCGAGCAGCUGAAAUUCGUUUGUUUACUUAUGUCGAUGGCUGCCGGAGUGGGUUAUUCCUUCGGGUUAAUUACAGUGCCGACUGCCAGAAACCGGAGUACAAACACGAACAGUGUUGUAAAACAGGUGACAAAGGAAAAUAGAACAGAUGAAAAAAAGCUUCCUGCGAGCCGGCCUGCAGCCAAGUUGGAGGUCCUUCAUAGUGCUAGUAGCAAUAGUGAGAGUUCUUAAUAUUAAGGCUUCUGGAGACAGAAAUGUUAAGCAGAAAACCAUCUGAUAAGUGGGAAGUCUUCUUACUCGUCGUUAACUUCAUUUGCUUGUGUUUCUGACUUAGAUUUUAAAUGAUUGCCUAUUUCUAUUUGUUAACACUUUAGAUGUAAAAUAGAUGGCAAUUAAAACGUAUUAUUUAUAA